rnacentral:rRNA from 1 species
GAUGAACGCUAGCGACAGGCCUAACACAUGCAAGUCGAGGGGCAGCACGAAGCAAGCUUGCUUGUUUUGGUGGCGACCGGCGUACGGGUGCGUAACAGGUGUGCAAUCUGUCCAUAAUCGGGGGAUAGCCCAGCGAAAGUUGGAUUAAUACAAGAUGGCAUCAUGAGUCCGCAUGUUCACAUGAUUAAAGGUAUUCCGGUAGACGAUGGGGAUGCGUUCCAUUAGAUAGUAGGCGGGGUAACGGCCCACCUAGUCUUCGAUGGAUAGGGGUUCUGAGAGGAAGGUCCCCCACAUUGGAACUGAGACACGGUCCAA